AAAGAACUCAAGUACUCACACUUGAGGACUUUUGGUUGCACUGCUUAUGUUCAUGUUGAUCCAGAAAAGAGAGACAAGCUUGAUGCCAAGGCUGUGAAGUGUUACUUCAUAGGAUAUGGUUCUGAUUUGUUUGGUUACAGGUUUUGGGAUGACAAGAACAGAAAGAUCCUAAGACAUUGUGACGUGACAUUUGAUGAGUCUGUCCUGUACAAGGACAUAGAGCAGAAGGUUCUAGAGAUUACAAAGCAAGUGGGAGUUGAGGUUGAGUUGAAGAAGAGUAACCCCAGAGAUGUCAAAGCAGAUACUCAACCAACUCCUACUAAAGAAUCUGAAGUG
rnacentral:misc_RNA from 1 species